rnacentral:rRNA from 6 species
AAACGACUCUCGGCAACGGAUAUCUCGGCUCACGCAUCGAUGAAGAACGUAGCAAAAUGCGAUACUUGGUGUGAAUUGCAGAAUCCCGUGAACCAUCGAGUUUUUGAACGCAAGUUGCUCACAAAGCCUUUUGGCCGAGGGCACGUCUGCCUGGGCGUCACGC